UACAGAGGGGGCAAGCGUUGUUCGGAAUUACUGGGCGUAAAGGGCGCGUAGGCGGCCUUCUAAGUCGAACGUGAAAUCCCUGGGCUCAACCCAGGAACUGCGUCCGAUACUGGAAGGCUUGAAUCCGGGAGAGGGAUGCGGAAUUCCAGGUGUAGCGGUGAAAUGCGUAGAUAUCUGGAGGAACACCCGUGGCUAAGGCGGCUCUCUAGUACGGUACUGACGCUGAGGCGCGAAAGCGUGGGGAGCGAACAGG
rnacentral:rRNA from 1 species